rnacentral:ncRNA from 1 species
CCAACCCCAGGGCGUUGUGGUUUGGUGUGCACACAACUUAAUAGCUCCUCUACUGGGGGAAGUUCGGUGAAAAUCCGACGCUGACCCGCAACCGUAAAUCUGUAAAAGAGAACCAUCUUUUUAAAGAUAAGUCGGAUUACCCAUUAGAACGAGAUGAGACAA